rnacentral:rRNA from 1 species
UGGCGGCGUGCCUAAUACAUGCAAGUCGAGCGCGGGAAGCGGACAAUCACCCUUCGGGGUGUGCGUCCGUGGAACGAGCGGCGGAUGGGUGAGUAUCACGUGGGCAACCUGCCUGUAAGAUUGGGAUAACUCGCGGAAACGUGAGCUAAUACCGAAUGAAGUCUUUCACCGCCUGGUGAAAGGAUGAAAGAUGGCUCUUGAGCUAUCACUUACAGAUCGGGCCCGCGGCGCAUUAGCUAGUUGGGUGGGGUAAAGGCCUACCAAGGCGACGAUGCGUAGCCGACCUGAGAGGGUGAUCGGCCACACUGGGACUGAGACACGGCCCAGACUCCUACGGGAGGCAGCAGUAGGGAAUCUUCCGCAAUGGACGAAAGUCUGACGGAGCAACGCCGCGUGAAGUGAUGAAGGUCUUCGGAUCGUAAAACUCUGUUGUCAGGGAAGAACAAGUUGUGUUCUAACAGGACAUGACCUUGACGGUACCUGACCAGAAAGCCCCGGCUAACUACGUGCCAGCCGCCGC